rnacentral:rRNA from 1 species
AUUGAACGCUGGCGGAAUGCUUUACACAUGCAAGUCGAACGGCAGCACGGACUUCGGUCUGGUGGCGAGUGGCGAACGGGUGAGUAAUGUAUCGGAACGUGCCCAGUCGUGGGGGAUAACGUAGUGAAAAUUACGCUAAUACCGCAUACGAUCUAUGGAUGAAAGCGGGGGAUCGCAAGACCUCGCGCGAUUGGAGCGGCCGAUAUCAGAUUAGGUAGUUGGUGGGGUAAAGGCCCACCAAGCCAACGAUCUGUAGCUGGUCUGAGAGGACGACAAGCCACACUGGACAGGGGACACGGUCCAGACUCCUACGGGAGGCAGCAGUGGGGAAUUUUGGACAAUGGGCGAAAGCCCGAUCCAGCCAUUCCGCGUGCAGGAUGAAGGCCCUCGGGUUGUAAACUGCUUUUGUACAGAACGAAAAGGUUUCUACUAAUACUAGGAGCUCAUGACGGUACUGUAAGAAUAAGCACCGGCUAACUACAUGCCAGCCGCCGCAGUAA